rnacentral:rRNA from 1 species
GAUGAACGCUAGCGGCAGGCCUAAUACAUGCAAGUCGAGGGGUAAAUAUUGUAGCAAUACGAUAUGAGACCGGCGCACGGGUGCGUAACACGUAUGCAACCUACCUUAUACUGGGGUCUAGCUCCGAGAAAUCGGAAUUAAUCCCCCAUAACACUGCGCUGUGGCAUCACAGUGCAGUUAAAGCUCCGGCGGUAUAAGAUGGGCAUGCGGUGCAUUAGCUAGUUGGUUAGGUAAUGGCUCACCAAGGCUACGAUGCAUAGGGGGUCUGAGAGGAUGAUCCCCCACACUGGUACUGAGACACGGACCAGACUCCUACGGGAGGCAGCAGUAGGGAAUAUUGGUCAAUGGACGCAAGUCUGAACCAGCCAUGCCGCGUGCAGGAUGACGGCCCUAUGGGUUGUAAACUGCUUUUAUAUGGGAAGAAACCCCUGGAUGCGUCCGGGGCUGACGGUACCAUAUGAAUAAGGAUCGGCUAACUCCGUGCCAGCAGCCGCAGUAAUAC